UCCCAUCAGAGCAGCCCCAAUCGCAUUCCUACUUCUGUGCAAGCAGGAGGGGAUGGGGGUCCCUCAGCUGGGAAGGGAGGCUUCCCAGUUGCUCUGAUAGGCAGCGUGAAGCCUCCCUUCACAGCUAAGAGAUCCCCGCCCCGCUCCUGCUUGCACGCAAGUAGGAAUGGGGAGGCUGCUCCGAUAGG